rnacentral:rRNA from 1 species
CAGGAUGAACGCUAGCGGCAGGCCUAAUACAUGCAAGUCGAACGGUAAGAUCCCUCGGGGGAUGAGAGUGGCGGACGGGUGCGUAACGCGUAUGCAACCAGCCCCCCUCACCGGGAUAGCCGGUGGAAACGCCGGAUAAUACCGGAUGCGCCCGCGGGGAGGCAUCUCCCUCGGGCAAGGCGGCGACGCGGAGGGGGACGGCAUGCGUGCCAUUAGCUUGUUGGCGGGGCGACGGCCCACCAAGGCGACGAUGGCUAGGGGAUCUGAGAGGACGGUCCCCCCACACUGGUACUGAGACACGGACCAGACUCCUGCGGGAGGCAGCAGUAAGGGAUAUUGGGCAAUGGGGGGAACCCUGACCCAGCCAUGCCGCGUGAGGGAAUGAGGCCCUACGGGUCGUGAACCUCUUUUGCUCGGGGACAAGGACGGCGUCGCGAACGCCGUUUGAGGGUACCGAGGGAAUAAGCGUCGGCUAACUCCGUGCCAGCCGCCGC